GCCCGACUCAUUAAAACUUGUCAUUUCCUUAAACUCAUUUCUACAUUUGGAUUUUGGAUUAAUAUAAUUAAAACUUGUCAUUUUGUUCCCUUAACGACAUAUUCUGUAUCACAGAAAUUUUUUGACAUGUUUAAAAUCACACGUGUCGUAAUGUUUGCCCAGUAAAAAAAAAAGGUAGUGCUGUUACAGAGACAGCGAUUUAGCUUCAUUGCAAACCGUAGUGCUUCUAUAGGAAGUAAUUCCUAGCGCGUCUGCCUUGAAAGCUAAGUCAAACAAAGGAGAAACAGUAAAAUGUAUUAUAUUAUCAUGCAUCCUAUAUCCAUAUUGUUUUGCAAGUUGAUCCGCCACCUCAUUUUGUUUCUUGUAGUUGCGUUCAUUCAAAGGUUCUCUUAGUUGGUUCAGCAAUGACCUGCAACCAUGAACAAUGUCAGAACAAUGUAAGUUAUUGUCGCGGAGGAACAAUGUAAGAGAGAUACUUGGGAGCAUCGACUCUUUUAUGGAUGAUAGGGCAACAAAAACCUUUUGUUCAUUUGACUGUAUGUUUGCACUAACAUUAAUAGAGGAAGGUAUCAAAUAUUAUAAACUUCAGUACGAAGGUAGUGCUGGGUGCCACAUUUACAAUUUGAAAAAAAGCAAAGAAAAAGUGUUUCCUUGAUUCUUCCUACAAGGAUUCUAAAACUUAAAACUUCUAAACAGCAUUCGAACUAUUUGCAAGAUUUUCGUUACACCCAAAACAGAAAAAGAAAAUAUCAUUCAUCCAUCCCCCAAUUUAAUACGAACUUCUGCUUUGAAAGGUCAAUAGACCUAUGACUGUUCUCCAUACCUCCAUAAUUAUUUCAUUUUUCAUUUAGUGAACUUGAAUUAUGUUUGCUUUAAGUUUUUUAUGCCCAAGCCCCCUUCCAUUUCACUAGAUUAAAACACCUCUUAUCUCUAUCUCCUUGCCAUAUAAAGUUCCUUAUUAAAGCAUCAGUCUUCUUUUCAAUUUUUACUGGUAUAUUUGGCAGAUAGCUUGAUUAGUUAACAAUGUACUUGACUCAUUAACCAUCAAUAUUUCAUGUUGCAUCCAUUAUCUAUCUACCACAAAUAAAAGUGAUUUGAUGAGUGUCUUAUCAGUUUGUCCACCAUUUUUUUGAGUCUCUAGAUACCAGCUUAGAGUACCAGAAAUUAUGCCCUAAAGGACAUGUGUGGGAGCUGUCAUUAGCGUGAAAAUAGUCGUAGGAAUUGUUUCCCACAACAAUGAGUUUACACCAAGGAGAACGAAACGAGCCCCUACGUGUUUACCCUAGUCUAGACAAGUUAGCAAAUACAGUACAAGAUGAAGUCCCAUGAUGUAUGCUAUUUGCUAAUGAUUUGUGUUAAUUGACAAAUCUAGCAAGGGUGUCAACCAAAAGCUUGACUUAUGGAGAAAAACGUUAGAAAGUAAGGGUUUUGGGAUAAGUAGAAGUAACAGAAUGAAAUUACAAAUGAAGGUGUUACUCGUUAAAAUCAGAUGGUUGAAAUGAAGAAGUGCUAUCAAGUGAAAUGUGAUAGAAGGAUGCCUACCAAAUUGAAAGUUAAAAAGUAUAUAGAACAACUAUAAGACUUACAAUGUUAUAUGGUGGUUGAAUGUUGGGUCGCUAAAGAUACAAUCCAAGUUCACUUGAGAUGGUUUGAACAUGUUUUACAAAUGCACUAAUUCGUUGGUGUGAAACAAUAGUAAGUGAAAGUGUUGAAAAGAGAUGGGCAAAUCUAAAAUGACAUGGAAGAAAGUCUCGAAAGACCUAUAAAUGCAUGGUGUUAAUGCAGACUUAGCUAACAAUUAGGCAUAAUAGAAGAAAAAGAUCUAUAGAGGUGAUAAGCUACUAGUUGAGAAUAGAUUUUAGACUUGUUAGAUAAAUUCUAAUAUUAUUAUUAUUAUUAUCAUUAUAUAUCCAUAAACAGCCUCUUAGGGAACUUUCACAAAAAUAAAUUAUUGCAUGUACCCAACAUCCCAAAACAGGGGUAACCCAAUACUGUCCUCCAGUUGUACUGAAAGAAGUCUGAAAUAGCAAAUCACCCAAGAAAUUUGCUGCUCCAACCGUUUCGUGCAGCAAUCUUGAUUGCCAGCAUGUCCAUUCUUGUCUAAACAUAUUUGCUCUAUCAUCAUCUCAUGAAGCAUUUCUCAUUUAGUCAUUACCUACUGAUGGCUAACAACUUGCUAUUGUUGACGUGUCAUUGUUGUUGUUAGGAUUAUUUUAUCUAGUACCAUUCUACAACUAAACAAUUGUUUUUAACUUUAUGGGAGAAGAGAGAGGGCAAGAAAAGUUUGACCCAAGAAAUUGGAUGCCUCUUUGGUUUUUAUCAUAUUCAAUAAUCGGAUCCCAAUACUAACCUUAUUUACCCCAACCACCUACUGCUAGUUCCUUAACUCGCAGCAAGCGUUAUGCAUCUUUUCUCUAGUAUGCAUUUAUGUUAUACUAGUCAUGUUUAAGAAAUUCUCUUCUUUAUCUGUUUUUUUUUUUUUUUGAGUGAGGUGGGUAGGUUGAAGGUAUUCCAAGGAGUCUUAUUUUGAAAACUAAGACGGGUCAACAGAAUGGAGUUUGGAUAAACAAUACGAUUUAGUAAGGGAAAACUUGAACAUUGGACCAUAAUGCAUGGCUACAUGCAUUUGGGUUUUCAUCCUGAAAUAUCCCCUUGUUAUUCUUUGUCUGAAGUCAGGUUGUAUGUUUCAACAUUCAAUAACUAGUAUAGAAUUGAGAAGCAACAUAGACAAUGCCUACAGAAAUAACGUGUGAUGAAGAUAACACACUUAGAUAUAUUCAUUAGAGCAUGUUCACCAUAUCUCUCUUGUUUUGCUUUAAUAUUAAGCAUGAAGGCAACAGCCACAACUAAUGAGUAUUUCAUACCUUGAUGAUUGGUACAUGAAAGUAGAGUAAAAGGAGCAAAACAGACUUCAGUGACAUACCUUAAAGACAGUACCAUUCACUUUGUAAAGGUUUUGUGCGCUAUCACUCCCAAGUCCAUUCAACUGACAAACACAGAAAAAGGAAUCAAAUACCAGAAUUGCAGCCAUCAGAUUAAUAAGAGGCUGCAAAAGAUAUUACCUGCGUUGUUCAAUUUAUGUCCUUUCUUAUAAGUAGAUAAUAAAGACACUUCUGAAUAUAUUUACUUUGACAGCAUGAAGUCGGUGAUUGAAAGAUACAACAAAACAAAGGAGGAGAAUCAUCAAUUGGCAACUCCAACUUCUGAGGUUAGGGUAAGUUUCACUGGUUAAUUUGCAGUCAACUAAUCAAAGAAAAAUAUGCAUAGCUAAGCUUUCUAUCAUAACCACUUCAUGUCGUUGGACAUAAUCUAGGCAAUAUCAAGGGACUUGUUGAGUAAUUGAGGCAUAGAAUUAACAACCUAAAAUCUCAGGUUCAAGGCCUUCUAUAACACAUAAUAUACACAUAUCUACUCAACCAUGGUGAGCUGAUUUCUGGACAUCUGUAAGGUAGGCUGCAGCAAGCUUUUUGGUGAGAUAGUCAAGGUGCGAGCAAAUUGAUCCAGACACCACUAUAAUAAGUAAAAAUUCUGUUCAAAGUUAACAGAAUAAUUAAAUGGUAGAGAAUAUUUUUAGUGAUUAUAUUAUAGAUGAAAGUUAAGAGGAUCAUUAAGAAUUAUAUGGAAAAUAUUCUUAGUGAUUAUAUGAUAAAUAUAGGAAACCAUAGAAACAAAAAGACUUCCCUCAUACAAGCAGCCCUCUUGAUAUUACCAACCAGUGCCAACAAGAAUAUCUUUUCAUCUUCUUCUCCUACUUAUUGGGCGUAUUAGGCUUCUAGGAAAUUUGUAGAAACCUAAGUGAAUAUAUAUUUGGAGAUUUUAUUACUCAUCUCUUUCUGAUUGAUCAUUCUAGGAAGUACCAUUCUUACUUCCAGCGAUCAUUUAGGCAGCACUAUGCUUUUUCAGGAGCCAUAACUCUUUCCAGAGAACAUUUGAGGCACCACACUGAUGUAUUUCAGGCAACCAUCUAUUCCUAGAGAUUUGUGUCACCAUAUCACUUCUCCCUAAAUUAGAAAAAAACAUUUCCCUAUGGGCUGUAAGGACACUUCUUUGGCUACAUCGACAACAGUCUGUGAGAAAGAAUAAGACCUUUUACGGCGAAUGUCACUAUUCCAGCAACUCAUUUCAGAUGACUGUCAAUUAUUCUGGUGAGUUCUAAUACAGUGCAAGGUGGCAUGUAAUCCUAACAUUGUUUUUGAUAAGUAGAAUUUAUUCAUAGAAACAGCAACAAUCAAGUAUUAAACCUGUAACAGAAGUUUGACUCAACUCCUAUCCAAGAUACAAGGAGUCUAUAUGAAGUCCAAAAGUGUUAUCAAGAUAAUUUUUACUGAGAAUUAUUCUAAAGGUUUAUACUAUAGUCUAGAGAACUAUUAAUUACUAUGUCAAAAUUGAAAUCCUCAAUGAGUAUGGUUCCUUAGUCCAUAGAAACUCCUAAGAGUCUAGUGUUUUCCUAACAAUAAAAGCUUAGUUAGGGUUCCUUACAUGAAUUAUGGUGUACUUCUGUGUAUACGACUUUGUGAAAAGGAUUUAAAAGAUAUUAGCACCUAUGAUGAAGGGAAAUAGAAUUUCGGAAACAGCCGUUCUACCUCUGGGCUCGGAGGUAGAGGUCAGGGCUGUGUUCACUCUACCCUCCCCAGAUCCCACUCCGUGGGACUAUAUUGGGUAUGCUGUUGAUGUUGUUGGAAUGUCAGUCAUAGGGUGGAGAAUCUUAUAAUAAGAGGGCUAGUGACUAGUCAAGUCAAAAACCUAGUUUGAUCUACAUGACUGGUUAUAUGGGUAGCCGAAUGGUAAUAAAAUAUUAACUAUAAAGGAAAACAACAAAAACGCUAGAAAGAGUCAAAAUGAAUAUUGAUAAUAUAUCUGUGAAUUUACACUAUUCCGAUUUAAUUAAUUCUAUUUAUACCAUGUGAGUCCUCCAGUUUUACCACUUCUAAGUUUCUAUGUGAUCUGGUUAGAUUGCAUGAGCCUGGUCCUAAGUUUGUAGUAUCCUACCACUCAGAUUGCUAUUUUGACAGUUUAGGAAAAGAAUAAAAUGCACAUUAAAGUACGUUGCUUUUGUUCUCACCAGAAAAGUGGAAAGAGAAAAAUGAAUUUUCAUCCCUUGAUAAAUCAGAUAACUUAUCCACCUUCACUUCCUUGGCUCAUUUGGUACAACGAUUCCUCAUUGCCCUGCCUUUCUGCCAUACUCAACACUUGUCUGUCCAAAUGGUCGGUCUAGCCAUAUGUUGGGUCAAAACUGAAAAUAGAAGAAGUGAGGGAAUGAUCUUAAAGGUUUCAUAUUAUCACCAACUCUACUGGAAAGGUCAAACUGUGUUUCCAAGGGAAAUAGAAUUAGGAGACGGAAGCAGGGUAACAGGGACAAAAGCGAAGAGACAAAACAGAAUCCUGCAAGAAGCAAAAGAUUCUUAUAGUUAACAGUUAGUUGUACAGCUGAAGAUGCUGGAAUGGAGGCUAAAGUUUGAAAACCAAUAUUUAAGAUGGAAGGAAGAUGCUUUAUGAGAAAAUAGAAACAUUCAUCCAAACUGGUGUCUUAUAAACCACGGGCAAUCCAAUACAUUGACAGAGAACAGGAGCUAAGUAUUCCAUUAUUACUGAUCUGGCAUGAAAUGCUAUCCAUUGAAAAUGUAACAAAACUUCACCUUUUCAAGAUUUAACUGGAGAGACGUCACAUAAGAAUAGAUCAGGGACUAUGGCUUUAAUUUGUCUAGCAAUCACAGCAUAGCUCAAGAUAGAACUGUCUUAUAGUUCACACUACACAAUUACUUUGAAGCAUUUUGUAUCAUAUCAAGCAAAAACAUCUUCAGCUAAACAAUUUUCAUAUAACCCCUACAGUCUGCAUAUUAACGCGAAAAAAGAUUCUACACAGACACAGCCUGAUUUCCUGCAAGAGCAAUUAAAGAAAGGGUUUUCAUGCUCUUGAGAGGGGUACAUGAUUGGAAAAACAAAACCACGUGCUACCUUUUUACUGACGAUCACCAUUAUCAACUUCAAGGAUUUAGUAGUCUGCCUAAUCCAGCUGUACUUGAAAAAUUGGCCAUCUUUUAAAUUACCUUUACAGUGUAAAGGUUCUAUUGUGGGAAAAGUUCUAGUAAGACAGGGACUUCAAAGGCUGCUUAUCCUCCAGCCCCCUUCUAACUAGUGUCAAAAUCUUAAAACAAAAUCUUCUGAAUCUUAAUCAUUUGAGCCAUGCCAAUUCAACAAGGAGAUUCAAUUUGUGGUAGAGGUAGUAAUGAUUUCUUUCCGGUGAAGCCCAUUUCUUGAAAAUCGUCUGCUAGGGCACACUAUCUGUUGUCAAAUAUCUACCAAGAUGACAGCUGGUGUUAACCUACACCUUGAUCAUUCCUAUGUUCACAUAUAAGUUCAGGUACAGCAAGGAGCUUUUGGAUAUGGUAUUGGAAGAUAAUUCCUGGUAGAUUGAUCAUGGAAGCAGCACUUGACCCCUUUUAAUAAUAAGACUGGAUAGACCACCCUAAUUUAAGACAUAACUAAGAAUUCUGCUCGGGGGUUAAUACUGCCAUCAUGACAUAUUGCACUCAUUUUCAUAGCACACUCUUCCAAUGGUACACAAAUCCAGGAACAGAAAAUCUCGUCUAGAGCUGCUUUACGAUCUUCAAGUGGGGUAACUAUGACGCAGCUGUAAUUUUAUUUUUUUUGUACAACUGUAAUUAAUCAUUUACAGAACAUCAAAUUUAAUUACUCCUUACUGUACCAGACAUCAUAGUUUAUGACCAUCAACUUCAAGGCCUCCAAAACAACAAUAGCUUAUAAUUUUAUCCCUGAUAGCAUAUUGUCGAACAAAAUUGUUAAUGGUAGGAAGCAACAAAUAUAAAAACGACGCCUUGUGGCAAUCUCAAGGAAGUAACUCUAAAUUGAAGUUACACAAUCUUAAGGGUACAUAUGGAUCUAAUUCCCAGACCACAAGGAGGGGGACGGCUCAAUUUAAAUCUAAGUAGCACCCAUUACAUCUAGGCUUGGUUUCCUAUUGAUUUCACAGCUAGUUUUAUCAAGCAUGCAGAAAUAUCCAUUAGUUUCUCCUAUGAUAAUCCAAAACCAUGUAUUAAAAUAUAAUUUCCUGUUAGCAGUUUUGGCAAAGGGAAGCGGCAAUGCUGAGGCAACAACUACAGAACUUGCAAGAGAAUCACCGGUAAACUCUCUUGUCAUAUGUUAGAUAUAUUUCUUACUUCCACAAAUAACUUAUUCAAUGAUCUAUAGCACAAACACAGGGACUCUUGUCUCCAUUGUAAGUUUUAAGACAUUAAAGUAAAAAUUACUCCCUUCAUUCACUUUUACUUGUCACAUUUGGAAUUAGCACACCCAAUAAGAAAACAAUAAUUGACAUGGCUAUUUUACCACACUACCCUAUUAAUUGAUGUUUAGUAUUAAGUGUUGAAAAAUGAUCUGGGAAUAUGUAAUCAAUGCUAAGGGGAAGACAUGGAAAAAAUUUAUUGUCUUUUCUUGAUAUGUUAAAGGUGAAGAGUAAAAGUAGGUUUGGGGGUUUCACAUGAAUCCCUAUUAAUUGAUGUUUAGUAUUAGGUCUUGGAAAUGGUGUUAUCCACUUUAAUGUUGAGGGACUAGGAAUUAGAGAUUUUAGAAUGUUCAUAAACUCUACCAGGAAAGUUGGUUUGGGGUUUCACAUGGAACUCAACCGUUGUGGGCAUCGACAAGUAUGCUAUUAAAUGGGAUAAUGAGGACCAAUCAUAUUGAGCAUCUCUUUAGAGGAUAUUGGGAAAAUGUGGAGAGAUCCUAUCUAAGUGAAAAUUUAUAUAUACUUUUUUGAAAACUACCCAUCAAAGCGACAAAUUUAAAAGGGGAGAGGGGUUUUGUUGUGUGUGUGUGUGGGAGGGGGGGAGGGGGGCUAGGCUAUUGAAACUAGAAUCAAUGUCUUGAAAUAGAGAGGGUAGAGUCGUUGAUUGUGUUAAGUUUUCUGAUCAUUUUUAAUACUUUCAACCAACAGAUAUUAACAGUUGUCGACAAUUUUUUUAUUUUCUGAAAUGGUAACAUAAUAAUUGUCCACAAUUAUAGAGAAUGGGGGAGAAUUUUAUAGGACCUAUUGCUUGGAUCACCAUACAUGCAAAGAAAAUACAGAAAUACUCCCAAUUCACAUUAUUUUGUAGUUAUUACUACUCGUUUCUGUAUUUUCUUUUUUCAAACUACUUGGAAAUGCUUUGUUUUAAGCGGAGGGUCUAUCGGAAACAGUCUCUCUAGCUCUAACGAGGUAGGAGUAAGGUCUGGUUACACUCUACCCUCCCUAGACCUCAAAUGUGGGAUUACAUUGGGCAUGUUGUUUUUGUUGUUCUUUCUUUAGGUAGGAAUUUUCCCAUAACAUUAGUAUACGUUGAUUUCAUCAACAAUGUUCCUAGGCAAAAUAAAAUAUCUCCUCCAUUGCACUACUUAAAAUAUUUAACUAUUGUGAUCUUUUGGAUCGAUGGUGUUAUUUCUUUUUAUUUUUUGGGGGUUGGGGGGAAUAAAGGUAAUAUUUGAGGGUUUUACUUUUCUGUCUUUAAAUGGAUGGAGUGAGGAAAUAGAGAAAUGUGUAUUAAUUGACACUAAUUCCCGUGAUAGCUAUUUUGUUCAUAAUCCUGAGCUUUCUUUUGACACUACAGAAGUUCCGUUAAAACAUGUCCUGUUUUUCUUCGUUUCACUCGCUUUUUGACAGAACAUUUUGUUAACGAACUUAACUCUCCUUUCUCUGCUUCUCCCUUCCUGUCCCUCAAAACCCUUGAAGAACAAAAAAAAUUGAAUGUACCUCCUCUUCUCUCCUCUCAUUUCUAUCUGUCUUUCAAUUCUAUAGCUCUAUCAGAACCCAACACCCACACCCCAGUUUUCUUUUUCUAUGUUCAGUGGGCAGUAGAAAGAGAGAAAAGGAUAGUUCUAGUAGUGAUACAAAAGGUGUCUCAUCAAGGAUGCCGUUUGGAAUGUUCCUUCAAUAUCUUCAACAGUAUAGGCAUCCUAAGCCAACCACAAGAAAAUGCAUGAAACUAAGAACUAAACUAUCACCACCUUGCUGGAAAAAAGCAAGUGACACUAGAUAGCUUGUAACAUCAGUUCACAAAAUAGAAUAUGACAGAGAUAUCUGCUCUAGGUUAUCCUUAAAAAGAUUAUAUCUGUAAGUGCUGACAGAAAGGAUACUCAGAUUAUUUCAAGCUACUGGUUUUACAAUCAAAAGGAAGAGGCACUCAGGACCAUGGUUGUAACCCUUCAGAUCAGGGUUUUGAAGGAUCAAACAACAUUCGGUCUCUCUUAUGAAUUAAAGUAUUAGCAUGGACUUCUAGGGUGUGUCUGGUAUGGAGGAAAACAUUUUCUAGUAGAAGUGGCUUCUUGUUUAUUUUCUUGUGUUCGGUAUGCAAGUAAAAAUUUAUAAUCCUAAAAGUAUUUCUAUAUAUAUCUAAGACAAAACUAUGACUCUAUGAGGGUGGGGGUGGAGGAAUUCAGGGGUGGGCUGGGUGGUUGUGAGGAGACAAUGUGAUUUGUUUUACCUACUUUCAUUAGGAAAGUUAUUUUCCAUAUUAUUUUUAUUAUGACAAGGGAAAGCCGCAGUCGUUACCCUUUGGGCGCGCACAGGGUAAAACCCCCGCUCCUAUGCAAUAGCUCGCAAACCACAUAGGAGAGGUAACCCGCACUAGGCAAGCCCGGUGCGAUGAGCUCGAUCUAGAAGGCAAACCCCUUGCUUUCGCUGGCAAGGGGUUUCGAACUUGAGACCUCCAACAUGGAAGUCCUAAGCCCAAACCACUGGCCAACCCCAAAGGGUCAUUUUCCAUAUUUUCAAGGAGAUUGUUUUCCUAAAGAAAAUAUUUCUCAAAAUUUUUGGUCAACUGAACUGCAGUGAAUCAUGCAAUUCACUGGAGGAUUCUGUAAAGAUGUCUUCACUAUAUAAUCCCAGCAAGCAACUCAAUGUUGGGGAGUGAAAAUUCAAUAAUAAGCACACCUCAAAUGGUGUUAUAGAUUUCUUCCAGAGCUCCAUCAAACUGUUUAACAUCAACCCCCACCCACACCCANNNNNNNNNNNNNNNNNNNNNNNNNNNNNNNNNNNNNNNNNNNNNNNNNNNNNNNNNNNNNNNNNNNNNNNNNNNNNNNNNNNNNNNNNNNNNNNNNNNNNNNNNNNNNNNNNNNNNNNNNNNNNNNNNNNNNNNNNNNNNNNNNNNNNNNNNNNNNNNNNNNNNNNNNNNNNNNNNNNNNNNNNNNNNNNNNNNNNNNNNNNNNNNNNNNNNNNNNNNNNNNNNNNNNNNNNNNNNNNNNNNNNNNNNNNNNNNNNNNNNNNNNNNNNNNNNNNNNNNNNNNNNNNNNNNNNNNNNNNNNNNNNNNNNNNNNNNNNNNNNNNNNNNNNNNNNNNNNNNNNNNNNNNNNNNNNNNNNNNNNNNNNNNNNNNNNNNNNNNNNNNNNNNNNNNNNNNNNNNNNNNNNNNNNNNNNNNNNNNNNNNNNNNNNNNNNNNNNNNNNNNNNNNNNNNNNNNNNNNNNNNNNNNNNNNNNNNNNNNNNNNNNNNNNNNNNNNNNNCACCCCCCCCCCCCCCCCCCCCCCAAGAAACGAGAAGUCACAGUUGUUUAAAACAGGAUGUAUAAGUCACAUACAGUCAACUGUCAAUUUCUCUGUUGGAAUCACAUGUUUCUUAACAGUUUAUUUCUGCAAUAUAGACAAAUGAUGGGUGAAGAGCUUUCUGGUCUGAGCGUCAAAGAUUUGCAGAACUUGGAGAACCAACUGGAAACGAGUCUCCAUGGUGUUCGUGUAAGAAAGGUAUGAAAUUUCCAGAUCCAACAAAUGUUCACUAUAUUAAUUAAAUAAAAACUAACUCUACCCCCACAUGUCUACAGGACGAAAUUCUGAUUGAUGAGAUACAAGAACUAAACCGAAAGGUCAAUCAACAUAAAAUGCAGAGACUCUUAUCAAUUUAUUCUAAUCUAAAAAGUAUAACUUCUCAAGAUACUAAAUUAAUAUUUUUCCUUGCAGGGAAACCUCAUUCAUCAGGAAAACAUGGACCUAUAUAAGAAGGUAAACCUAAUUCGUCAAGAAAAUAUGAAAUUGUGUAAGAAGGUAUCAAUGUACAUCACUAAAAGCUUUCACAUGCUUCAAGAUCAAUUAUUUCCUUUUGUUUUCUUAUACCAAGUGAAAGAGUCAACCAUUCUUCUUAGAACUCUGGCAAAUUGUUUCUACAUUGUGUUAAACUACAGGUUUAUGGAAAUAGAGAUGCAAAUGGAGUGAGCAGAAGUCCCCUUGUUGCGAACAGUUUAAGCAUCAAUGAGGACCUUCAUGCUCCUGUUCAUCUCCAGCUUAGCCAGCCACAGCAACAGAACUAUGAGGCAUCGGGAACUACCGAAUUGGGGUAAUUUCUUGCUCAUAUGCUUCAUCUGGAAGCACAAUGGUAAUUCACUAACCUGAUCAUUGACUAUCGUCUUACUGGAAAAUGCUGCAGGCUACAACUGCAUUCGCAGUGAAAACCAGCCUCGUAAGAGUUUUCUGUUCUCAUGUUGAAGAAGCAGCUGUGCUUACAGAGCUAUGUUUUAACUUUUAAUGGUAGUAAUGAUAUAGAACCCAGAGAUGUCAGGAAAAAAUCUUCAGUUCACAAGGUUUAUGACAUCAAGUUUGACAAGUGUGAGGUAAUCCUUAGCACAACUACUUAAAGUAAGAUAACAACAAAUAAAGGAAUACAUUGGCACAGUAUCUCUACAUAUCUUUAUCUUUCUUCGCACUUCAUGCUUAUGAUGUGUAUGCCCUGUAUACUAGGAUUGUACUUGAUGACGUUUUCAAAUAGCUAUAAAUAGUUGACUACUUAAAACAGGGGUGGGAGCAAAGAAAUGCAAUCAGAAAAAGGAUAUACAUAACAGUAACUCCUCAAAGAAAUUCCUUGAGAAACACACCACAAGCAAACAGUACAAAGCAGAGCUAAGAAACUUAAUAAAGUAAGCCAUACCGCAUUGUUGCAUCAAUAUGCUUUGCGUGCAAUAGUCUUUAGCAAGGGACAGAUUAAAUUCAUUUCACACCAGUGUCGAACUUCAAAUUCAAGUGCUAAACAAAAAAGAUACAACAAGCAUUUGUAUUAGUAAUGCUCUUCCCAGAAAUUUUAGAAUGGAUGAUCAAAUAAUAUAUGAAGCAACAACAACAACAAUAUACCUAGUGCAAUCCCACAGGUGAGGUCCGGGUCGGUAGACUGUACGCAGACGUUAUCUCUAUCUCAUGGAGGUAGAGAGGCUGUUUCCAAAAGACACUCGCGCUCAAGUAACAGAUAAUAUAUGGAGCAUGCUCCACAAACAGUCUUUUCUGCCGAAGACAGUAAGUACUUCUUAAACAAGCUAUUUCUGGAUCACAAGGAUUCCAAUGGUAAACCUACACGAAUGCAUGCACUAUCAACAACCAAAUUUUCUAUACUACAGAAGACAGACUCUCAUCAAAUGACCUAUUUGUACAGCAAUGGAUUGCAUACUAAAUUAACAUGGAAGAAACAUGUUUAGGUCAUGAUGUGUGUGAGCAUAAAGUCCAUCGUAGGCAAAACUUCGUAUUACUUUGGAGAGUACACAUAAACAGAACAUGUCAUCUAAAAGGAGUAAAGUCUUCACCACGAAGGAUUAUUCAUCUUCUAUCAGGAGAUAGUUUACAAGAACGUAAAUGAAGGAAUAACUGUUACCAUUGACAAAAAAAGUGAAUGAAGGGCUAUUAGGUAGUGAAUAGGACUAGGACAUUAAUAAGGCAUAAACUCCAUGGAAGUUAUCAAACUUUAGUGCGUCAGGUACUAUGUAUUGACAAGGUAAAUGGAAUUUAUAAAACUAGAAAUUUGAAUCUAAUUGAACAGCAAAACUGCAAGCAUGCUAUGUUAUACUACAAAAGAAUAUGAUACCAUUAAUUUAGGAAUUCUGGAAAACUGUAAAAGAGAAGAUUUGUUUUAGAUUUUAGUGGAAUAAUCAGAGCACGAUAGAGCAUCUUCUACAAUGCCAAUACUUAAACCGAUUGGAACAUUUAUUACAACCAAUGCUCAAUAACAGCAGCAGCAGCCAUUUCAAACAGUGAGAAUACAAGACAUAAUUUAACAAUGUCCUUUGUGUCAAGAUUCUCAGUUCAAGACAAAUAGACACAAAAGAGGGGGAGAUUAGGUUCCAUUUUGACUAGCACCUGGAUAACAAUGAAGAUGAUUCUCACAUCUCCAUGUGGUGCAGUAAGGUUCUUAAAGUUGCAUGAACGAACAAAUUCUGAGGAAACUGGCCUGACUCAAGAGAAAAAAUGGAUCAUCUAGAGUUACUGCAGUAGUAUGUCUGCUAAAUAACAAUUUUCAUCAACGUAGUAAAAAGAUCAAAAAAUUUCCAAACAAGUUGGACAAGGAUAGCGUCUUCCACACAGCAAAGAUCUAUAACACCACAUUUGAGUGAGAUGACAUGGUACUCUCUCAAACACCAAAUUGUCUUUUAGCAACAUAAUAUGUCCAAUCCAAGUAAAUAAAACUACAGAAAGGUAAAUAUGCUAGUCGGCACUGUUACAACCACAGCAUUAAUAAGUUACCCUAUUGAUGGGACAGGCCUGGAAAUAGUGUUACUUAAUUUAUCUCUAAACAUCAUUUGUACUGCCUAAAGUUCCAGUUUGAGGUGUCCUUGCAAUAUAGUAUGAGGUGAUUCCAAGCUUUCUUUCCCCAUUUUUUUAAAAUUUCACAAACUCUUUUUAACUUUAUAAACGGUUUAACCUUCUACAACCAUUCCAAAAAUGUGACAUUGCUUUAAGGUAGGUGAACCAUAAACCUUUACAUGCCUACAAUACCCAAAAUCUCGAUGACUCUUGGGUGUCCCAGAUCACACACCUCUUUAUUCAAGAGUUUAUGGAAGUAUGUCUGCCAUCUACACCUAAUAAGAGUCCCAUCCACCAAUACCGUGUCAUCCUCAUCUUUGAUGCACUUCACUUGCUCCAAGUCACAAGUCUUCUCCUCUCUCACCUUGGUUGUCGUGUACAACUGCUUGUCCCAGCCUAUGUCCCCAAGUUCUUCAUACAGACGUCCAAAACCCCUGCAGUCUUUGCUGCCUUAACUGCUAAUUUCACCUCCUUCCUCACUUUCUUAUACUCCUCCUUGUUCAUCCUCUUCUCCUCAUUGUCUUUUCUUUCUACUAUCUUCACAUAUGCUGCUUUCUUGGCGUCCACUUUUCCUUGGACCUCUUCAUUCCACCACCAAUCCUCUUUUGUGUCCACUGGAGUAACCCUUCAAGAUCUCUAGCACCGCUCUAGCUGCUCCCUUAAUGUAAGUCACAGUCAUCGACCACAUGCUACUCGUGUCCCCACUGCUCCUCCAGGUCCCCAUUGCUAUCAACAUCUCCACAACUCCUAAGUAUUAUCCUAAGUCAACGCACCCCACUUGAUCUGCCUUGAUCUUUGGGUGACCAUACACGACACUUUUCUCCUCUUCCUCGUUAUUACGAUGUCUAUCAUAACCAUCUUAUUUUGCUUAUAAGUCAUAUUCACAGUUAAGUCAUGUGAAUCUAUUGUAUAAACAAUAUGGUAACAAGUCAACUUUAUUGCAUUAACAAGACUAACUAUAACUGAAUUAUAUCAGUAACAGAAGUAUCAAAUUUGUUUCUUUUAUCCCUCUGAACCUAAAACUUCCUCUGACACAUUAACAAAAGGGUCCUCUAAACCUAAUACUUACUCUGUCACAUUUACCUAAGGGGAUACUAUUACUUUUUGGGGAGUCAGAGGUUUUUCUUUUACGACAAGCUUUUAUAAAAAAUUACUAAAUAUUUUGAUCUAUUAAUUUUUGUGACCAACCGCACUUGUUUCACAAUUUUCACUAUGUAAAAUUUAUGUCAAAUUCUUGAUGAAUCUAUGUCUAAAUCCACACUGAAAAUUAGGUAUUUUGACCCUCAUACUAUAAAGCAGAGGAAGUGUUAUACAAUAUAUAAGAUCACUUGGAACUUCUAUGAUGCACUUUACAAGGAUGUGAUUAAAUGAAUGCACUAAAGCUUUCCAUCACAUCCAGAACUAUCUGUGGAAUGGAAACUGGACUAGCUCAACUAGGACCAACUGAUCCGUCAUUUACCAAAACGCUAACAUAGCUCACUAGCCACCAAAUCUAUGAGGUAGAAAUCCAUCUCAAAAUGAGACUAGGUUUAACACAACAAAAACAAAGUAUUAUUGAAAUCUUGAAACUCACCAGUUGCAUAAACAACUGAAUUUUCUAUUUGCCAACCAUUAUCUAAUUUUAUAAAAACAAGAGUCUCAAUAACUUAUGGUUUAUGGUUUUUAAAGAUGAGGAAUAUUUAUAUGUUCCAAUAAUUAAUAUUUUACAGGUUACUUUAAGUUAUGUCUUACGUUAUUAUUAAUCUACAACCAUUUCAUUUGACCAACAGCCAAAUCAAAUUUCAAGUAAGACUUUAUAUUUUUUUGACUUUAAUGAGAAAAAUUGUUCUUUUCUUAAUGUUUCAAAUUAUUACUAAUUAUUUUCAAUAAUAUCUCAAGCAACAAAUUAUAAGAACAUUCUGCCCUAACCUUCACAAAAGUAAACCUAGGUCAGUAACCAAAAUAGGAGGCAACAUAAGAAAGUAUUUUGGUAGAAGCAGUUACUGUAAUGUGAUAACUUUCAAGCGAAAGGUUGCUAGUGAGCUAAAGACAAAUACAGCAAAUAUAGAAUGAUCACUUAAACUUUAAAAUUCAUCAAGCUGAGAGAUAUAAGCUUCAUGAUUAAUCCUUCUUGUUCCAAAAAUAAAGCUUUGAGGAGUUAUCCAUGUGUGUACAGUGUCAUAUCAGUCCAUACACUAACAAGUAUUUUGAAAUUACAGGUGAACAACAGUUUGAACCUGUGCGUGGUAGAUUCAUAAAUCACUGUCUUAAUCCAUAUGGCUACAUCCACUCCCUCACCUUCUUAAGUUCCACUUUUACAGAUUUAAAUUGGAAACAAAAUAUUCAAGUCAAAUAUCUAUCAUCUUUCUUAUUUCAAUGAUGUUCUUAUUCAAAAUUAUGAUUAAAAUAUAAAGUAAAAAUAACCAAAAAAAGAAAAUAUAGCAGCAAGAAGAGGUAAAAUCAAAAUACAUUACUCAUAAGCUAAUCUUUUCUCCUUUUCAGAAAAACAAAUGCGCCCACUCAGGCUUUGGGGAGGGUAGAAUGUACGCAGACCUAACAACUAUCUCGUGGAGGUAGAGAGGUAAUUUCCGAAAGACUCACAGCUCAAGUGCAACAAAUCUAGGUACAAAUAAGACACAGACAAUGACAACAAAAAUAGUACGACAGUUGAAAUAUCAAAACAAGAACUACAAUAAUACUAGUAUAAGAAUACUAGUUGGUAAAAUAUCUUUUCUUUCCUAAGCAAUAUAUAAGAUCCAAUACAGUGUACAACGAUCAUCCUUCAAUCCUACAACUCUUUAUUCUAUCCCUCAAUAUGGACAAUUCCCUAAACUUUAAUCUUAAAAGCAUAUGCCUAAACUAAAGGAAUCAUUUACGCAAGAUGAAUUUUCAUUUCUCUCGAAAAAAAUCCUCAAUUUAUGUUAGUACAAUGCUGAAAUACAAAAGAAGUAGAUUAGGUAGCCAAUCCAUUUCACGCAGUAAAUUGCUUGUAAUAUGAUCACUAAACAAUUUUAGAGGGACAAAGCUAGUUAACAAUAAUAUAUUCCAGAGAAAUGUGUAACAGUUAACAUGAUGUUACAAGAUUUCAAUUAGGUCGCCAAGUGGUAUUUCAGUUCAACUUCUACUGUAGGCCAUUAAACUGGUAAAUCAAUCAUUUUCUUGCUGAUAAUGUGAUAGCUAUCUGUAUUUUACAUGAUGUUGUAUAGAUCACUUAAGAUCAAAAAUACAAAAUGAUAACAAAAGUAACAGGAGGUAAUCAUAACACAGUUCGCGGGAGAAGCCAUAAGAUGUACAGCAGCACUAAGAUUAUAUCACACAGAUAGAAAGCAUAUUUGACCUCUAAUAUACACAAUUACAUAAAGUAAAUGCUAUAUGUAUUCCGUCAUACUAUUCUAUGAACUACUAUGAUAAAUUGGUGCCGAAAAAGAAAAAAUGCAAAAGAAACAAACAGAAGAAAAGUGUACAUGCAAUAACAAAUCUGAAGCCAGCACAGAUUUCACCGAGAAACAUUAAAGUAAUUUUCUUUAACUCAAGUACAGAAGCAAAAUUGUUUGCCAACAGUACUUCAAAGUGUAACAUCAAAUCCAAGACAAUAUGCUUCCUAGUAAAGAAAAGAAUCGUGAAGAAAAGAAACUCCAAUAACUCGCAAGGAAAGAUUUGUGAACCAGAAAAAAAAAAAAACUAAGAAAAUACGAAACUAAAUGAAACGUAUAUUUAAUUAAGUAUGAAGAGAACAACAUUACGCACCUGAAAAACGAAGCAACGGCAUUUCCACAAUGCUGUGAGUGUAAUUGCAUACCACAUCUAUUAUAAACUUGUGAUCAGGAAAAAGUUCUGCAAGGGAAUUGAAAAAGGCAAAACAAAAAAUGAUUCCGAUCAGCAAGCUGCGAGAUAAAAUAUUCAAUAAAGAAUAAAAGGAAACGUAUCGGAAAACGCAGUUAGUUUAGAAGCAAAGGUGAAAAUUGAGUUUAGCUUUCAACAAAGAUAAGCAUAUGAUAUUAAAUAUUAUUUUUUCUUCUUUCUCAGGAACCAAAAAGAAAAAAACUGUGAAUUGAACCACCGCCAUGAGAGGAAAGAACAAACAUUGCGAGUUCAUCCUGGAGUGAUCGAUCGAAAAGUUUAUCGGACAAUUCGAGGAGAAGAUGAAGAAAGAAUUGAAAGAAGAGAAUUCGAUUUGUGUUCGAAACAGUAGGUUUCACAUAGAAUAGAGAGAGGAAAUGAAUAGAGACGGGAAAAACAAUAUAUGCGUGAGCUGUGAAGGAUAAAAAGGACGGGGAAAUUGGGAUGAGAAACCCGAAGCAGAGUGGGGCAGGGGGUUGAGAAAAUUCUGGGGACUGCUGCUGUUUCCUGGUGGCGCCCCAAUGGUGAUUAUUUUAUGGCGUUAUUAUAUGCUUUUCUGGGGACUUCUUGUUUUAUAUAUUGUUACCAUCAGGUGAGUAAUUUUUAAAGCAUUUUCUACCUGCAAUCCCAUGUAUUCUCUUACCAUUACCAAAAUAUUUUGCUUGUUAGAACUUUUUAUUAAUUAAUUUAAUUAAAAUAAUACUUUCUCUGUUCAUUUUAUUUGUCAUUUUUUACUUUUGCAAAAAUCAAAUAGUAUGGAGUUUGGCCAACACGUUAUACAUGUUUUUUCAUUAUUAUAUUAGUAAUAUGAGAGGAAUCGUAACUUUUAAUUAUUAUUUUUAUAGUUUUUGAAUAUUUUAAUUUUUAAAUUAAAUUAUUGAAUUAAUUUAGUGCAAUAUAUCUUCAAAGAUUAGUCAUAUUGAGCUCGGAACAUGAUAAGUAAAAAUGAAUAGAGACAAUAUUUAUUUGAAAAUGAUUUAUAAUUAUUACUUUUAAUAUUAACGACAAAUUUGUAACUAUGUAAGUGUACUAUGUAACAAUUAUAUAUAGCCAGCGUAAUUCUACAAUUGAGAUCUUGGAAAAGUGGUAGAUAUGUAAUCUUACUCCUACUUUUGAUGAAAGAAUGUUUUUGACAGACCUUGGCUAAUUAUUCAAUAUUGUAUUUAAUACAUAUCUUGAAUACUUAGAGAUAAAUGAUAAUGUUUUUUUAUAUAAAAUAUAUAUUUCAAAUAUUAACGUUUUUUUUUAAUCAACUUUUAUUUUAAGAUUUAACUUUUGUAACUAUACUUUAGCAACCAACAUUGUAAAAAAAUGAUUGUGAAAGUUUUUCAAUGGCUUAAUAGUAUUUUUGGUCCUUCGGUUAUGGAGUAAAAUUCUAAUCAUAGUCCUUGUAUGAUUAGAAUAGCUGCUAUGAUUUAUGCUUUGGAUUAUUCCAUAAACAAAACUUUAUUUAGGUAUUAAGGAAGGAGCACAAUACUCAAUCGUCUAAUAUGCGAAUUGGAGUGAGUGGUAAUAAAGAUAGAUGGUUUAAUAAGUUAACAUUUUUAAAGAAGUUGAAUUCUUCUAUUCUUUUGGUUGAAUCGAAUUUUAACCUAACCAACAGGCCUUUAAAGCCUGACGAGAAUAAAAUUAAAAGAACAAAGAUUGAUUAUAUCAGUUUCAAUAAAUUUUUAGUUUUUAUUAAAUGAAUCAUAAAGAGAGUUCAUUAGUAUCGUGUAGAUAUACACAAUAGUUGCAUCAUUCUUUUUAUUUUUGCUUAUUGUCUUCUCUUGAAGAUGUCAAUAAAGCCUUUGAAAAGACAUUUGUUUUCUCAUAUAAGAAGCUAACCCCUUAGCGAGAAAAUACUAUAGCUCAAGUUUCAACUAUAAAAAAUCUUUGCUAAAAUCAAUGACUGCUUACUUAUUUACAUGUUUGGAAGGUUAGAGCAUUAUGUCUAUCCUUACUUUGUCCUUCUAUGAAGGCUAUUCUUUUUGGAUUUAUUUAUAGUCAUGUUGGGUGGAAGGUAUGUGUAGAAGCAUGACUAUAAAACGACAAUUCUCCUAUUUUCGUUAAAGUAGCGAAGGUCUCCUCUCCCAUAACACUAGCAUAUUAUUGAUAAAGACUUCAUUAAUGUUUAUGAUAGCUUCAUUACCAAGCCUUCCACUUGGACAGCUAGACACAAGAAAAAAAGUGAGGAAGAAACAAAGUUGCUUCUCCCUUGUAGUUGUACUAUUCGACUUAUAGCUACUUUGAUUUCAAAAUAAAAUAGUACAUAAAUAAGUCAAAGACAAAUAAGAUAGAACCUAAAGAAAAAUAAAAAUAAAAAUAGACAUAGACAUAUGGAGAAAGGAGUUCGGAACCUAAAUAAGCCACAAAAAGAUAAAAGUGACUAAAAUAAGCCACUAUUCUAGUAAGUAACUAAAAUAGGCUUAGUGGAAUAAAAAUUCCGUUUUAUGCAAUAUUUUAAACGUUUUCCGUUAGUCUAAUAACGUGUAUAUUUUAAUAUAUAACAAAACUAUUUUUUACACCUUGUAAAACAUAACUAUUUCUUACACUUUGUAAAGUAGAAGUUUUUCUUACAAUUUAUAAAGUGGAAGAAAAAAAAUUGUUUUACAAAGAGGAAUAUUUUUCACGUUCUCUUUAUGAAGCUUUUGCAGUGUUUGUCAUACAAUUAUAUUAAUUUGGCAUAUCGUUAAAACGGAAAAAUUGUUACGUUAUGUAUUUUUAUUCUGAAAACUCCUCCAAGCUCUAUUUAAGGACGUUCAAACAUAGUACCUUCAUCAUCUUUAGUCUUCUAUUUUUCUUCAUUUGAAUCACAAAAAAAAUGUCUUCUAAACCAAAAGUUAGAGUUUCGAUUUAUUGGGAUGGUGAAAUUAUACAUGACGAAAAUAUCGUUUAUUAUAAUUGUCUUUUCAAACACAAUGCUAAAUAUUUAAUUAAUGUCUGAUAUCAUAAAUUUCUUUCAUCAAUUUAUAAAAGAAUGGGNNNNNNNNNNNNNNNNNNNNNNNNNNNNNNNNNNNNNNNNNNNNNNNNNNNNNNNNNNNNNNNNNNNNNNNNNNNNNNNNNNNNNNNNNNNNNNNNNNNNNNNNNNNNNNNNNNNNNNNNNNNNNNNNNNNNNNNNNNNNNNNNNNNNNNNNNNNNNNNNNNNNNNNNNNNNNNNNNNNNNNNNNNNNNNNNNNNNNNNNNNNNNNNNNNNNNNNNNNNNNNNNNNNNNNNNNNNNNNNNNNNNNNNNNNNNNNNNNNNNNNNNNNNNNNNNNNNNNNNNNNNNNNNNNNNNNNNNNNNNNNNNNNNNNNNGUCAAAUCAAUAUAAUUGUAUGACAAACACUGCAAAAGCUUCAUAAAGAGAUACAAUUUAAUGCAAAACGUGAAAAAUAUUCCUCUUUGUAAAACAUAAUUUUUUCUUCCACUUUAUAAAGUGUAAGAAAAACUCCCACUUUACAAAGUGUAAGUUUUAAAACUUACACUUUAUAAAAAGUAAGAAAUAGUUCUAUUAUAUAUUAAAAUAUACCCGUUAUGAGACUAACGGAAAACGUUUUGGAGUAUUUUACAAAACAUAUUUUUUCUUCCACUUUAUAAAGUGUAAGUUUUAAAAACUUACACUUUAUAAAAAGUAAGAAAUAGUUCUAUUAUAUAUUAAAAUAUACCCGUUAUGAGACUAACGGAAAACGUUUGGAGUAUUUUACAAAACAUAUUUUUUUCUUCCACUAAGCAUAUUUUAAUUACUUACUAGAAUAGUGGCUUAUUUUGGCACUUUUAUCUUUUUGUGGCUUAUUUAGGUUUCGAACUCUGGAGAAAGAGGGGGAAAAGGGGAAUCACGAACAAGAAUCUAAAUAGAUAAGAUGGCUAAGGUCGAUCUUGGAUAAGAGAGUCAUUUACCUUGUUUGUAAGGUAUUAUUAUACUAAUUCAAAUAAUUCUCAUAGGUAAUCUUUGCCUCAUUUCUUGCUUCUUCUUUUUGAAUUUGUGCUUAUGUCUUUUUACUUCGCUUGAUUUUCAAAUCAGUAGACUCCAUGUUUUGUUUUUUUGGCCUUAUUAGCUUGACUUCAUAAGUGAACAUAAAAUUUGAAUUGAAUAGAUAGGCGGAAAAUGUCUUUCAUAAUUCAAGUAGUAAGCUUACUAUCACUUUAGUUGAAUCUAUUAUAGGGUAGGCUUUUUGAAUAAGUCAUAUUAAGAUGUAUUAAGAUGAUGAAGACCCACAUUGCUAGGUCAAAGAGUGAAAAUAUCUACUUUCCUCGAGGAAAAAUGAAAUACUUAAUUGAGGAGGUGAACCAGGCCAAGAGGUUAACUUGCUCAGUUGCAUAAAGUUGUAUGAAUUUAUUGCGAGGGAUUUAGGUGUUUUAGGCCAACCAUCUUCCAGUUUUAGGAUAAUCAAUGCUAUAUAAUGCUUACUGUGGGGGCAAACCUUAACCUUAAUGUGUAGAAUAUCAUUUAAAAAAAUUCUCCCCUUCUUUCACUAUACUUUUUCGCUCUUGAACUACUUGAACAGGAAGGCCAAGGAGCGUUAUCGUAUAUAAGAAGAAUUGUUGCAUUUGACAAUAAUAAGCUCUCACUCACUCUAACUAAAAUUUGAUAAGAGAAGUCUGAAAGGAUUUCAUGCUAUAUUCAAUGUAUGUAAAUGUCCUCUCCACUUUCAAGAUCAGUUGAGUCAUAAAAGUACUUAUUAAAAGUAUAAAGGAUCAAGUAGCUAGAAUUAUUUGUCCAUUCUAGGUUCAUAAGUUCUACCAUUAGAGGGACUAGUUGUCAUUCUCCCAUAACUUAAGUUGUUUAAGGACAAGAUUCAAAUUUGGUUGAGGUAAUUGGUAUGUUUUGAAAGAAAUAAAAGAUGAGUUGUAACUCAUCUAGUAAGCAAUGGGUGUUGCAAAAGCCCUGGCUAGCUCCAUUCAAAGCUCAAAAGAUUAAAGUUUCACUUUAUGCCCCCUAGUGAUGGACUUGGUUAAAUUGGAAAUAUUAAAUCGUGACAUUUUGUGUCACUUCUUCAUUCAUUUCUUUUACAACCCACAAAAAUUUCAAAUAUCCUUUAGCUCAUAUUUAUUUUUUUGAUGACAAAAUAUCCUUUAGCUCAUAUUUUCUCGUCUACUUUCUAAUUUUCAUAGCUUACUUCCAAACCAUUUCGAACACGAGAAAUUGAGAGAUCUUUAUCAGUCCUUACUUGAAUCUCCAAUGACAAAAUAACAAGACAAUCAGAAGCAACAAGCAAUCAUGAUUGAAGCACGACUCUAGUCAAUAAGCUAGCAAUGAACAUAGCUACGACAAAGCACUUAAUAAGAGUGAAGAAAAAGUCUUCUCCACUUGAGUCUUAUGCAGGGGACUCGCACAUUCGAUUCUUAAGAAGAAGGGCCAGUAGGAGUCAUCUCAUCUCAAUAGCUUAAAUUUAGAGCUUAAUAUGAAUAUUUUUUUUGGUAAAAUCUAUUCGAAAAGUGAUAAUUUCAAAGAUUGCUUUUUGAAAUAAGAUACUUUCUUUGACUCUUUGUUGGUCCUCCAAGGACUAGUGAAAGAAAAAAGGGAUCAAAAUAUCCCAACUAUGAGGACUUUUCACACUGCUAGUUAUAUUCAAGUUCUAAAUUUUCUUUUUAUUUUCUAUUGUGAAAAGAUAAGGAAAAGUCGAAUGUCCAUAUGAGGACCAAUUUUUUUGUGGGUAACACAUGUGAAAUAUUACCAUAACAAGCAAAAGAGUACAAUCUAAAGAGCAUCUAGUGUUCCUCAACCACAUUCUAAGGAGGGUGUCUUAAAACCACUAGAUCUCCAGAAAACUAGUUACAAAUUAGUUGUGUAUAAAACUAUGACAUUUAUAUGCUUUCCCUGACCCCUAUAACAUAUAUAUCAUUUCCUUCAGUUCCUUUUGUAUAUGUGCAUUAACAAAUUCACCAUUUACAUUCUGAUGAUUAAAAAUUCUCUUGUUCCUAGCUAUCUAGGUGUAGAAGACCAAUGCACCCCAGGCUGCUGCGAUAACUUCCUUUUGAAACUGCUUCCACCUUUUCUUUUUGAUCCAUUUAAUUGUUUCGUAAACUCCUCUGGAUGAUAAUUGAACCCCUAGGCAUGUACACAUAAGGAUUUUCACAGCAGUAAUCCACUUACACUAAGUAAAUAAGUGAUGGUGUGUCUCCAACACACUCUCAUCACACAAACAAUAUAGGCGAAAAAAUAGUUUUAAAUUAUAAACCUCGUAUCUGAUUUUGUAAUUAAUGUAAGAACGAAGUUUGUCUAAUGAUAUAAUUGAGUUUUAUGUAUCUAUCUUUUUUCAUUCUUUUUGUGCCUAUGAAGAGGCUCACCUUAUAUCUCCAACAAGUGGUAUUAGAGUGUUGGUUCAAUCUUAAAAGGUGUAAACUUGAAGGUUUUGACAAUCUCCAUUGAAGGUGUGUUUCGGGGUUUGAGGACUUGUUAAGAGACUGACUAUUUGCAAAGAAAAGAGUGAAUUUCUUUGGAUUUGUAAAGAAAGAGCAACUUAUCGAAAUGGUGUCUUAAAAAUUUCACAAGAUGAAAAAGAAGACGUGAGAAGUCUUCCAUGAAAUUGUGUUUGCAAUAUCUAGAAGUUAUAAUAAGGAUAUGGAGAAUGAAUUGCCUAUAUUAUUGAGGGAUGCACACAAAGAUGUUGAAAAUAAAAGUCCAAUUGAUACUGUAUCAGGUUGAAUUCUCAAGCACUACUAUUUGUCUUUCAAACUAGGAAUGUUUUGAUUUAUCUCUAACAUGCAUAGACAGUUACUGAAGAAGCAACAAGUUACUAUAGACUAGUAUUGAUUACUAGAUGUAUCAACAACACAUGCGCAAAAAAUCAUAUUACAAAACUAAAGAAUCGUUUGGUAGGAUGUAUUACGGAAAGUAAUACAUGUAUAAGUAUUAAUUUUAUCUUGUUUGAUAGUAUUUUUAACAUAUAUAUAAAUAUUUUUAGAAAUAAGUAUUUCUAAAAAUGAACUGACAGGUAUAAUUUUCUUGUUUACUGUCAGUGGAGAGAAGUUAAUCUCUAUUGAUAUUAGUAAUAUAUCCGAGUUACAAAUACAUGAACCAAUAUGGAUAAAGACAAAAUUAUCUUUCCUCACCAUUACUAAUACACCUCAUUAUGUACUAUUUUUAUAUAUCCUACUAAACGAUCCCUACGAUUAAACCGCACAGGCACCUAAAGCUAGUUUUUAUCGUACUCUAAUAAACUCAUGCCAUAAAACACACUACAUAACUUAUACAUUAUUGAGUUGAUCCUAUAAGAAAAUAUGGAUCCCCCACAACUUCGACUAAGCAAAAAUAUAAUUACAGUAAUAAAUAGGGAUGGGCAUAAAUAUCGGAAAAUCGAAAAACCGAACCAAACUAUUUUGGUUCUUCGGUGUCUGUUUUUUUGGUCGAAACUUCGGUUCUUCGAUUCGGAGUUCGGUGUAAGGGUCUCGAAACUACGGUGCACCGAAGAACCGAAGUUUUAUUUUUAAAUUUAUUUAAUAAAACUUAUAUAUUUUGACUCAAAAUAUUUACCUGGCCCAUUUCAAUUUUUAAAUUUUGGAGCCUAAACAAAAAAGUAAAGGGCACCCAGCCUAAACAAAACUAUUUUGAUGUUAUUACUUUUUAUUGUUAGACUGUUAGUUGUUACUUUGAAGUUUGAAAUUUGAAUUGUUAAUUUAUCAUAUUCCCUUUUUAUUUUUAUUUUUAUUCACACCAAAAAACCAAUUUAAAAACACCGAACUAAACCGAACCAAAGUAGAAAAAAUCGAACCGAACCGAUCUAGUUUAAUUUGAAAUACGAUGCACACUUUUCUAAAACCGAAUACAGAAGAACCGAACCGAAAUUUGAUUAAAUCGAACCGAACUCCCACCCCUAGUAAUAAAUACUUGAAAAGUAAAAUAUAAGAUGCUUCUAGUCUUCACCAGUAUAACUAUAACGCACCUGAGAAAAUAAGCGACGGUUUUUCCACAAUGCUGAGUCGUGAUUAGAUGCCUUGUCUUCCAAAAACUUUUGAUCUGAAAAUUCCAGAUGAAAAAGCAAUUAAAGUAUGAUCACGAUAUACAAGUUGUAAUAAACUACUUGAGGGAAGAAAAUAAAAUAUGACGCAAAAUUAUCGAAAACCAAAAUCCGUACAGAAGAAAAGGUGAAAAUUGCCUUUGGCUGUCGAAAAAAAACCCUGAAAAUUAAGCUAAAAUGGAAAAGUAUACGACACAAACAGCGAAUCGGUGUCUGAAUCAACGCCAUUAAAAACGCGAGAACAAGCACUGAUGAGAAGAAAACCUUUAGCAAACAGCAUCGGAAAAAAUUGAUCGUACAAUUCGAUUCGAAGAAGAUCGGAGAGAUGAACGAACUACCGAAGAAAAGUGAGUGAUUAUUGUGGUAUUUGAUGCAAAAAUGGAGAUGAGAGACAUGAAUACGUACCUGUAACACGAGUUCGAUUCUAGAAAUGGAAGGAGAGAUAGAAAGAGAGAGAGGGAAGCGGAAUGGUGUAGAGAGAG
rnacentral:lncRNA from 1 species